GGGCCAGACGCCGUGUUGGUUGCAGGCAGCGGACUCAUAAUCCGCCUCCCAAAGGACAUCGUGGGUUCGAAUCCCACCCGGCCCACCA
rnacentral:tRNA from 1 species